rnacentral:rRNA from 1 species
CAGUAGCCGCGGUAAGACGGAGGGUGCUAGCGUUGUUCGGAAUCACUGGGCGUAAAGGGCGCGUAGGCGGCCUGUUAAGUCGGAUGUGAAAGCCCGGGGCUCAACCCCGGAACUGCAUCCGAGACUGGCAGGCUUGAGACCGGGAGAGGAGGGUGGAAUAUCCAGUGUAGAGGUGAAAUUCGUAGAUAUUGGAUGGAACACCGGUGGCGAAAGCGGCUCUCUGGCCCGGAUCUGACGCUGAGGCGCGAAAGCGUGGGGAGCAAACAGGAUUAGAUACCCCUGUAGUCCCUGUCUCUUAUAC